ACGGAAGGCAGCAGUGAGGAAUAUUGGUCAAUGGGCGGAAGCCUGAACCAGCCAAGUCGCGUGAAGGAUGAAGGUAUUAUGUAUUGUAAACUUCUUUAGACGUAGAGAAAUAAGGAGGUCGUGACCUCUGAUGCUAGUAUACGUAGAAUAAGGAUCGGCUAACUCCGUGCCAGCAGCCGCGGUAAUACGGAGGAUCCGAGCGUUAUCCGGAUUUAUUGGGUUUAAAGGGUGCGCAGGCGGCCCUGUAAGUCAGCGGUAAAAUCGUGGAGCUCAACUCCAUCCCGCCGUUGAUACUGCAGGGCUUGAUUGCGGUCGAGGUUGGCGGAAUUCGCCGUGUAGCGGUGAAAUGCAUAGAUAUGGCGAAGAACUCCGAUUGCGUAGGCAGCUGACCAGACCGUAAAUGACGCUCAUGCACGAAAGUGCGGGGAUCGAACAGGAUUAGAUACCCUGGUA
rnacentral:rRNA from 1 species